GACUGCCGCGGUGCUUGGUGGGGGCGGGGGCUGCAGUGUCACUCAUUUGGGGGUCGGGUAUGAGAGUCCAGGCUGGGGCUGCCACUAGCCUACGUCUUCCCGGUACCACCCAGGGCGCAGGGGCGGAGGCGGAGAGCCGGGGACUGCAGAACCUACCCCAGAGCGGGACGCGAACCCGCUGAGUUGGGAGAAGAGCUUCAGCGCCCGGGAGCUGAGCACGCUGCCCCCGCGUGCAGCGCCCGCGUGCACCUAGCCCGGAGAGGGGGCGACAGGGCGGAGGCAGUGGCCCCCGGAAGGUGUCUGGGACCCGGCUGGCUGCACGUGAGCCCAGCGCGGGGUCAUGUGCACCGGCUCAACCCGGUUCGUCGCCCGGACGUGCUGCGUACCAACAAAAUGAAACUCGGGGCGACAGGAGGGCAGUUAACUCUGGGUCCUCCGAACCCUCGUCCCCGGCUGCACGAUCUCCCCUUGGCACAGGUCUCCCGCUGCAGCCCCUCCGCCCAGCUCGAGCCGCGGGGCAAGUUGCAGCCCCUGCGCGCCCCCGCCCGCCCGCGCCCCCUAGCCUGCCCGGGGGCUCUUUGCCGCAGUCAUUAAUAAAGAAGGUCGCCAAACUCA